rnacentral:lncRNA from 1 species
AAACAAUAAAGGUUUAUUUCUUACUGACAGCAAAUCCAAUGUGGGUCGGUUGACUCCUCGGUAGCUUUUCUUUAAGCAGUGACUUCCGCAUCCUUCCUCCACUUGCAGCCAUCUACACAAGAAAAACGGUAACCACGGAAGUUAUAGGAACCAUUUUAAGGAAGUCAUGGAGGAAGCAUACGUCAUUUCCAACCACAUUCCAUUGGCCUAACUGCAAGGGAAACUGAGAAAAGUAGGUACCUCGUGUUGCCUAGAAGAAACCCAGCAUCACUGAGCAUGGAGCCAUUUCUGCCCUAUCAACGGUGAUUCCUCAUGACGCAGCAAAAAUGGCUGAGCUGUAACUGUGAAUGACAUAAGUUACCAUAAAAUCUUCUCCCUAAAGUUCUGGAGGGAUUUGGUUUUAUUGUGAUCCCUAAUGCCAGGCAGUGUGUGGCUCUCGUGGAUCUUUCAUAUACAAUUAUUUCUUAGAGGGGAAGUUGCACUGAAAUCUGCACUAUGCAAGGAAGAGAAUCUGAAGUCCUAGAGCAUUUGCAGGAGAAAUGACAUCUUAACAGUAUUGAAUCUUCUGAUCCGUGAACGUUCAUCUCCUUUAGAAACAAUGGCACAGCAGGAAACAGCCCACUCAAAAGCGAUGAUUCAAGAGAAUUGAAUAAAGAGACUGUUCACAAAAGGUAGACAGAGUUCAGAGAAAUUACAAAGAAUGGAUUUAUUGAAGACUGCUAUGAAACUCCAACAACUUGGAAACACAUCCAGUUUACAGUCUGGCCAUUGUGAGGAUCUGGGCCUUAGCACAGAUGUUGUCCUACUUUUCCAGUCUAUUAAAUAUACGAAG